GGCUGCUCCAAUGGUAGUGGGUUAUCAAAAUUUAUUAACAUUAGUUCACUAAAGUUGAUAUAUAACCCCCCAUUGCUAAAUCUGACUGGCUUUAA
ensembl:misc_RNA Y_RNA Y RNA